rnacentral:rRNA from 1 species
CAGCAGCCGCCGCGGUAAUACGUAGGGUGCGAGCGCUAAUCGGAAUUACUGGGCGUAAAGCGUGCGCAGGCGGUUAUAUAAGACAGAUGUGUAAUCCCCGGGCUCAACCUGGGACCUGCAUUUGUGACUGUAUAGCUAGAGUACGGUAGAGGGGGAUGGAAUUCCGCGUGUAGCAGUGAAAUGCGUAGAUAUGCGGAGGAACACCGAUGGCGAAGGCAAUCCCCUGGACCUGUACUGACGCUCAUGCACGAAAGCGUGGGGAGCAAACAGGAUUAGAUACCCCCGUAGUCCCUGUCUCUUAUAC